AGCGAACGCUGGCGACAGGCUUAACACAUGCAAGUCGAGCGGGCACUUUCGGGUGUCAGCGGCGGACGGGUGCGUAACGCGUGGGAACGUGCCCUCUGGUUCGGAAUAACUCAGGGAAACUUGAGCUAAUACCGGAUACGCCCUUUUGGGGAAAGGCUUGCUGCCGGAGGAUCGGCCCGCGUCUGAUUAGCUAGUUGGUGAGGUAACGGCUCACCAAGGCGACGAUCAGUAGCUGGUCUGAGAGGAUGAUCAGCCACACUGGGACUGAGACACGGCCCAGACUCCUCCGGGAGGCAGCAGUGGGGAAUAUUGGACAAUGGGCGCAAGCCUGAUCCAGCCAUGCCGCGUGAGUGAUGAAGGCCUUAGGGUUGUAAAGCUCUUUUAUCCGGGACGAUAAUGACGGUACCGGAGGAAUAAGCCCCGGCUAACUUCGU
rnacentral:rRNA from 1 species